CCUGAUGUUAAGUGAUUACUGGAGCCCAU
rnacentral:sRNA from 1 species